rnacentral:tRNA from 1 species
AGGAUUUAAGUUAACAUAAACUUUUAACCUUCAAAGUUAAACAUAGAUUUUGUCUAAGCCUUA